AUUGAACGCUGGCGGCAUGCCUUACACAUGCAAGUCGAACGGCAGCAUGAUCUAGCUUGCUAGAUUGAUGGCGAGUGGCGAACGGGUGAGUAAUACAUCGGAACGUGCCCUGUAGUGGGGGAUAACUAGUCGAAAGAUUAGCUAAUACCGCAUACGACCUGAGGGUGAAAGUGGGGGACCGCAAGGCCUCAUGCUAUAGGAGCGGCCGAUGUCUGAUUAGCUAGUUGGUGAGGUAAAGGCUCACCAAGGCGACGAUCAGUAGCUGGUCUGAGAGGACGAUCAGCCACACUGGGACUGAGACACGGCCCAGACUCCUACGGGAGGCAGCAGUGGGGAAUUUUGGACAAUGGGCGAAAGCCUGAUCCAGCAAUGCCGCGUGUGUGAAGAAGGCCUUCGGGUUGUAAAGCACUUUUGUCCGGAAAGAAAUGGCUCUGGUUAAUACCUGGGGUCGAUGACGGUACCGGAAGAAUAAGGGCCGGCUAACUACGUG
rnacentral:rRNA from 1 species